rnacentral:rRNA from 1 species
AGCAGUCGCCACGGUAAUGCGUAGGUGGCAAGCGUUGUCCGGAAUUAUUGGGCGUAAAGGGCUCGCAGGCGGUUUCUUAAGUCUGAUGUGAAAGCCCCCGGCUCAACCGGGGAGGGUCAUUGGAAACUGGGAAACUUGAGUGCAGAAGAGGAGAGUGGAAUUCCACGUGUAGCGGUGAAAUGCGUAGAGAUGUGGAGGAACACCAGUGGCGAAGGCGACUCUCUGGUCUGUAACUGACGCUGAGGAGCGAAAGCGUGGGGAGCGAACAGGAUUAGAUACCCCAGUAGUCCCUGUCUCUUAUAC